rnacentral:tRNA from 1 species
GGACUUAGCUCAGUGGUAGAGCGCUUGCCUAGCAAGCACAAGGCCCUGGGUUCGGUCCCCAGCUCCG